rnacentral:rRNA from 1 species
CCGGUGGACAAACCGGAGGAAGGUGGGAUGACGUCAAGUCCAUCAUGGCCCUUACGGCCUGGGCUACACACGUGCUACAAUGGUCGGUACAAAGGGUUGCCAAGCCGCGAGGUGGAGCUAAUACCCAUAAAACCGAUCGUAGUCCGGAUCGCAGUCUGCAACUCGACUGCGUGAAGUCGGAAUCGCUAGUAAUCGUGAAUCAGAAUGUCACGGUGAAUACGUUCCCCGGGCCUU